rnacentral:rRNA from 1 species
CCUACGGGGAGCUGCAGUGAGGAAUAUUGGUCAAUGGCCGGAAGGCUGAACCAGCCAAGCCGCGUGAGGGAGGAAGGCGCAGAGCGUCGCAGACCUCUUUUGCCGGGGGACAAAAGGCCGGACGGGUCCGGUUCUGAGGGUACCCGGAGAAAAAGCAUCGGCCAACUCCGUGCCAGCAGCCGCGGUAAUACGUAGGUGGCGAGCGUUAUCCGGAAUGAUUGGGCGUAAAGGGUGCGUAGGCGGCCUGCUAAGUCUGGAGUGAAAGGUACCGGCUCAACCGGUACAGGCUCUGGAAACUGGCGGGCUAGAGAGCAGGAGAGGGCGGUGGAACGCCAUGUGUAGCGGUAAAAUGCGUAGAUAUAUGGAAGAACACCAGUGGCGAAGGCGGCCGCCUGGCCUGUUACUGACGCUGAGGCACGAAAGCGUGGGGAGCAAAUAGGAUUAGAUACCCCUGUAGUC